UACGGGGGGUGCUAGCGCUAUCCGGAAUCAUUGGGUUUAAAGGGUCCGUAGGCGGGAUAAUAAGUCAGCGGUGAAAGUCUGUGGCUCAACCAUAGAAUUGCCAUUGAUACUGUUGUUCUUGAGUGCUUAUGAAGUGGUUAGAAUAUGUAGUGUAGCGGUGAAAUGCAUAGAUAUUACAUAGAAUACCGAUUGCGAAGGCAGAUCACUAAUAAUUCACUGACGCUGAUGGACGAAAGCGUAGGUAGCGAACAGG
rnacentral:misc_RNA from 1 species